AUUGAACGCUGGCGGCAGGCUUAACACAUGCAAGUCGAGCGGAGAUGAGGUGCUUGCACCUUAUCUUAGCGGCGGACGGGUGAGUAAUGCUUAGGAAUCUGCCUAUUAGUGGGGGACAACAUUCCGAAAGGAAUGCUAAUACCGAAUACGUCCUACGGGAGAAAGCAGGGGAUCUUCGGACCUUGCGCUAAUAGAGGAGCCUAAGUCGGAUUAGCUAGUUGGUGGGGUAAAGGCCUACAAAGGCGCCGAUCUGUAGCGGGUCUGAGAGGACGAUCCGCCACACUGGGACUGAGACACGGCCCAGACUCCUACGGGAGGCAGCAGUGGGGAAUAUUGGACAAUGGGGGGAACCCUGAUCCAACCAUGCCGCGUGUGUGAAGAAGGCCUUAUGGUUGUAAAGCACUUUAAGCGAGGAGGAGGCUACUGAGACUAAUACUCUUGGAUAGUGGACGUUACUCGCAGAAUAAGCACCGGCUAACUCUGUGCCAGCCGCCGCAGUAACAC
rnacentral:rRNA from 1 species